UACGUAGGUGGCAAGCGUUGUCCGGAAUUACUGGGCGUAAAGGGUGCGUAGGCGGUUUAUUAAGUCAGAUGUGAAAUUCCCAGGCUUAACCUGGGGACUGCAUUUGAAACUGGUAGGCUAGAGUGCAGGAGAGGAAAGCGGAAUUCCUAGUGUAGCGGUGAAAUGCGUAGAUAUUAGGAAGAACACCAGUGGCGAAGGCGGCUUUCUGGACUGUAACUGACGCUGAGGCACGAAAGCGUGGGGAGCAAACAGG
rnacentral:rRNA from 1 species